rnacentral:pre_miRNA from 1 species
AAAAAAGGCAAACCCUGGUUUCCGUGCCCAACGUUUGACCGUCCGUCUUAUUUGAAAAAAUAUGAAAAAAAUUAAAAAGACAAGUCACGCAUAAAAUAUUAAUCAUGUUUUAUCAUCUAAUAAUAAUGAAAAUACGAAUUAUAAAAAAAUUUUAUAUAAGACGGACAGUCAAAGUUGGACAUGGAAACCCAGGGUUUGUCUUUUU